GCCGUCGUGGUGUAAUGGUCAGCACACUGAGCCGGUAUUUCAGAGGUCCGCGGUUCGAUCCCCGGCGAAGGCA
rnacentral:tRNA from 1 species